rnacentral:rRNA from 1 species
AUGUGGCAGAGCCGUUCGUUGGCCGUGGCAGCGACCAGCGAGAGAGGCCCACGCCUUUUCAUGGAUGCGUCGCAAUGUCCAUCCCAUGUCUCAUCGCCCAUGCAUCGCCAGCCUAGUUGCAAGUGUAACUUGAGGAACUGUUCAUUCAUUGAUGGACUUAAGCUGCAUUCAUUCAUUCAUUCAAGUGGUCACUCCUCUCUUUCAUGUUUUGGCAUAAAAUUCUCCAAUGGGGAGUUAGCACUUAGGGAAACACCAACAGGAGUUGCAUUCAUGAGGAAUGGAGUGUCGUCUCUUUUUUCACUGUUCCUGCAAGGGAAGAGACCUGAUGAUAUAAAAAAAAGGAAACAAUUCGGCGCUUCUUCUCUGAGCGUAAAUCUAUAG